rnacentral:lncRNA from 1 species
CCACAAACCGAGCGCUCCUCAGUGCUAAAACACAAAUCGUAGCCUGUAAAGAAAACAAAUAUCGGGUAUAAAUAAAUUUAAUACAACCUUGUGGUUUUUCGGUAUUUGGGAACUGCAUGUUUGCUGUAGGAUUCAAACACCUCCUGAUAUUUCUGGUAUCGUAGACUUCCCCCCAGUUUUGCUUAUUUUAACAGAAGGCCGAUUUUAGUUGUCGAAGUUCGGCCGUAACCUGAUGUACCAUCAAUCCUUGUGUACCCCGAUACCCAGCGCUGGUUUAAAUGAAGAUUUCUUCUGAAAACAACCACAAACAUGGAGAGCGUGUCAAAGGUGAUGCGCAUCUGUUUUGGUUUCAUGCAUUACACAUUCUUAAUAGCUCCUUUGCAGUUCUAACGUCAAAUUUCACGAGUUGCGCAGCAGAUUUGUUACCGGAAACAAGCCUAAAACUAUUUCAAGGAAGAGUUGAGGCCUCAUGCCAGCGUGUUCGGGGGACAGAUGUAACGAACGAGGAGGAGAGAGGGACGAGGAGGAGAGUGAAACGAUGCGUCACCAAAGACAUGACGGCUGAGGAGACACCUGCCUGUAUACAGGCUGAAGGAAGGCAGCAGAUCAGACUGAACCUCUGUCCCCACGUGCUGGGGUUACUCCGUCCUCGGAGCGUACAGCUGCACGUGAUGGCGACUGUGAAGGACACGUUUGAGGACACGAUUAAGGACAUAUAA